GUUUAUCUUGUUAUUUCAGUCAUGUGACCCAGCUGUAAGCGUGUAUCCAGUUGGCUGGGAGAGCUAUUGGUGGGUCCUCGUCGCCUUCGCAAUAUUUAUAUUUGUAUGCUGCCUCAUACUGAUCUUACUGAUAUGUGUCCUUUAUCGACAGUACAAACAGUAUAUGGAUUCAAGAAAAACCUAUUUGGUACCAGGAAAUUGAGAGGAAUAAGAACAGCAUUUUCGUCCAGUGAUAAUACAACCGAAUUCAAACAUGUAUACAAUCCUUAACACAGAUUUCGAAAUGUUCAUGAAGUAACUUGCAAGGAACACAGUCUUUGUGUGCAGUAGUUGUUAGAUAAAGUUAUCUCAACUUUAUAAACAACAGUAAUUUUGCACAUGAAAUGUUUUAAAUUUUCUGAAGUAAGUGUUUUGAAUUUCUGUUUAAGUUUAUAUCAGCAAAAACAGUUCUGACAUUGUUUUAAUCAAUAAUUUAUGUGAUGAAGGAACAAAUUUCUAUAAACCCUCACAUAGACACAUAUCAUAAUAUGCACUUGUGAUAUUGGUAGACUUUUACUACAGAAUAUAUGAUAGAAAUGUGACCAGAUAUAGAAGGAUGCAGUGUGUUCAAGGUAUCAUUUAUAAUUUUGUCAUCUCGGCACAAAAAGGGGACAAGUGCGGCAACAUAAGAAUCACUUAACCGCUUUUUGGGCUUAGUUGAUGAAAGUGAUGAGUUGAUAGAGUAUGACGUGUGUUUGUCUUUAACCCGAUAGUUCCUUGUUACUGUAUAUAUUGUAAAUAGAUUGUUUAUACAUUUGUAAAAAGUAAUAAUUU
rnacentral:lncRNA from 1 species